AUUGAACGCUGGCGGCAGGCCUAACACAUGCAAGUCGAACGGUAACAGGAAGAAGCUUGCUUCUUUGCUGACGAGUGGCGGACGGGUGAGUAAUGUCUGGGAAACUGCCUGAUGGAGGGGGAUAACUACUGGAAACGGUAGCUAAUACCGCAUAACGUCGCAAGACCAAAGAGGGGGACCUUCGGGCCUCUUGCCAUCGGAUGUGCCCAGAUGGGAUUAGUUAGUUGGUGGGGUAACGGCGCACCAAGGCGACGAUCCCUAGCUGGUCUGAGAGGAUGACCAGCCACACUGGAACUGAGACACGGUCCAGACUCCUACGGGAGGCAGCAGUGGGGAAUAUUGCACAAUGGGCGCAAGCCUGAUGCAGCCAUGCCGCGUGUAUGAAGAAGGCCUUCGGGUUGUAAAGUACUUUCAGCGGGGAGGAAGGGAGUAAAGUUAAUACCUUUGCUCAUUGACGUUACCCGCAGAAGAAGCACCGGCUAACUCCGUGCCAGCCGCCGCAGUAA
rnacentral:rRNA from 1 species